GAUGAACGCUAGCUACAGGCUUAACACAUGCAAGUCGAGGGGUAGCAGGAUCUAGCAAUAGAUUGCUGACGACCGGCGCACGGGUGAGUAACACGUAUCCAACCUGCCUCAUACUCUGGGAUAGCCUUUCGAAAGAAAGAUUAAUACUAGAUAGUAUAAUUUCAUCGCAUGAUGAAAUUAUUAAAGAAUUUCGGUAUGAGAUGGGGAUGCGUUCCAUUAGAUAGUUGGUGAGGUAACGGCUCACCAAGUCUUCGAUGGAUAGGGGUUCUGAGAGGAAGGUCCCCCACAUUGGAACUGAGACACGGUCCAAACUCCUACGGGAGGCAGCAGUGAGGAAUAUUGGUCAAUGGGCGCGAGCCUGAACCAGCCAAGUAGCGUGAAGGAUGAAGGCUCUAUGGGUCGUAAACUUCUUUUAUAAGGGAAUAAAGUGGAGAACGUGUUCUCCUUUGUAUGUACCUUACGAAUAAGGAUCGGCUAACUCCGUGCCAGCCGCCGCCGUAAUAC
rnacentral:rRNA from 1 species